UUUGAACGGGAGAUAGCAGGAACUGAUGGAGGGAGGAAUGCUUCUGGUAAAACGUGACUAACAUGGAGAGAGUGAGCAGUGACUGAUGGAUUAGGUUUAAGCUGACUGUAGGUGUGUGUGAGAGUGGACGGUUGUUUGUCUCCGUGUCCCUGUGAUGGACAGGUGACCUGUCCAGGGUGUGACUCUGCCCUUCACCCGAUGUGAACUGGGAUUGGCACCAGCAGCCCCGCAACCCUUGUGUGGAGGAUAAAGCGAUAGAAGAUGGAUGAAUGGAAACACCUGACUCUGAAACAGUGGCACGCUGCCUCCAGGUGGAGUCGCCCUCCUGCAAGGCCCACUGCCAAAACUUCCUCCAACCUUGGACUGCAC